rnacentral:rRNA from 1 species
GACGAACGCUGGCGGCGUGCUUAACACAUGCAAGUCGAACGGAAAGGCCCUGCUUGCAGGGUACUCGAGUGGCGAACGGGUGAGUAACACGUGGGUGAUCUGCCCUGCACUUCGGGAUAAGCCUGGGAAACUGGGUCUAAUACCGGAUAGGAGCCAUUUUUAGUGUGAUGGUUGGAAAGUUUUUUCGGUGUAGGAUGAGCUCGCGGCCUAUCAGCUUGUUGGUGGGGUAAUGGCCUACCAAGGCGGCGACGGGUAGCCGGCCUGAGAGGGUGGACGGCCACAUUGGGACUGAGAUACGGCCCAGACUCCUACGGGAGGCAGCAGUGGGGAAUAUUGCACAAUGGGCGCAAGCCUGAUGCAGCGACGCCGCGUGGGGGAUGACGGCCUUCGGGUUGUAAACUGCUUUCGCUAGGGACGAAGCUUUUUGUGACGGUACCUAGAUAAGAAGCACCGGCUAACUACGUG